ensembl:lncRNA
ACACAGUGUAGCUACUCUGCAGUGUUACGCUGCAGAUGCAAAUGCGGUAGUCAUCCGCGGAUUCCAUGCGCACAGAGCCGCCGCGCACAGUGUACGUUAAUCGUCGCUCUGUUAGGUAUGCGGCGUAGAGCGCGGCACGCACUGGAACGCGGCCUGUCAGCUCACAGAUUGCGCUGAGCUUUAUAAAGCCACGGCCACACGACAACAGCCCGGCUGUUACACAGAAACCUCUCUGCAGCGUUGCCAAGGCAACGGCUACCGAAAGCCAUGACAACCAGGGUACUCUCAUCCUCUAUCAGUCUUCUUUUCUUUGUCUGAACUCCUGUUUUCGCGCACACCUUUACAUCCGGCGCGUUUCCUCGAGUAAUUUCGCUCUUUAACUCCCAUCUCCUCUCUACACGCGCAUCUUCACCUCCCCUUCUUCCAUCUUUUUUUACGUCCCCUCCCUCCGUGAGCGCGCGCGCUCGCUCGCUCGCGCUCUCUACAUCUUCCGCCGCUUCGGUCCGUUCCCUCUUUCUUUUCUCCCCCUCUUCGCCACCUCUCGUCUCUGCACUCACCCUCCCCUGCCCAAUCCCUUUCAGCUGCUCGCAUCCUCUCCUCCAUCUCUCCGUUUCGUCUUUUUUGUACCUCCCCUCAUCGAUACGAACGCGUCCCUCUCCUCGUUUGCCAAAUCCUGAAAGCAGACCUCUCUUAUUCUCUCUCUCUCUCCGUCCCUCCCCCUUCCUCUUUACGUUUCCCCCUCCCUCCAUACCAUAUUUUCCUCAAUGCUUAAGUCAGUCAAAAGAGACACACUGAAGAAAAGAGGGGCGAACGGCGGGCGCUGAGAGAGAGAAAGAGAGAAGGAGAGAAGCUGGAGGGAGAGAGGGGAGAGGGGGGAACGGGGGUUUGGAUACAUCUCCACCUGUCUUCUCUCUGCCAUGGACUGCCUCUGCAUAGUGACCACAAAGAAAUAUCGGUAUCAGGAUGAAGAGACUCCGCCCCUGGAGCACAGCCCCGCCCACCUGGCUCACAGCAAGAGCGCUGAGAUGCUUCACAUGAGUGAUAAGAACCUGGCUGCCAUGGACACCCUGCACAGUUACGGCCCACACACACACAUCUCACCAAUAAAGCCAGUGUUGCUGUCCUCUGGUCAAACCCCUCUGUACACCUCUGCGGUCUCCACACUGGGGAACUCUCCUCCAGUGGUGGUAAAUACUGACACACUGGACGGCUCACCGUAUGUCAAUGGAGCAGAAGGAGAGAUUGAAUAUGAAGAGAUUACGCUGGAAAGGGGAAACUCUGGGCUAGGCUUCAGUAUUGCCGGAGGGACUGAUAAUCCUCAUGUCGGAGACGACCCCAGCAUCUUCAUCACUAAGAUCAUUCCUGGAGGAGCCGCCGCACAAGACGGGAGACUCAGAGUAAACGACAGCAUUCUCUUCGUGAAUGACGUCGAUGUUCGGGAGGUGACACACAGUCAGGCGGUGGAGGCGCUCAAGGAGGCGGGUGCUAUCGUCAGACUCUAUGUAUUACGCAGGAAACCCGUUGCUGAGAAAGUCACCGAAAUCAAGCUCAUCAAAGGGCCAAAAGGGCUAGGCUUCAGUAUAGCGGGUGGUGUGGGGAACCAGCACAUCCCUGGAGACAACAGCAUUUAUGUCACAAAGAUCAUCGAGGGAGGAGCGGCUCAUAAGGACGGGCGACUACAGAUCGGUGAUAAGAUACUGGCGGUGAAUAAUGUGUGUUUGGAGGACGUGAUGCAUGAGGACGCGGUGGGCACGCUGAAGAACACAGCAGAGGUGGUCUACCUCAGAGUGGCCAAGCCAACCAACCUGUACCUUACCAGCACCUACAACCCACCAGACCUCACGAGCAGUGAGUCGUACUCUCCGCAUAUGGACACGGACCUCGGACAUCCGAACUUCCUGGCCUCGGAUUACCCACAAGCCCUCACUCCCACCUCACCAAGCCGCUUUUCUCCAGUGCUGCAUGGCUUGAUGGGAGAGGAUGACUUACCCAGGGACCCGAGGCGUGUUGUGAUCCACAGAGGAUCGACGGGUUUGGGCUUUAAUAUAGUUGGAGGGGAGGAUGGCGAGGGAAUAUUCAUCUCUUUCAUCCUGGCAGGAGGCCCUGCGGACCUGAGCGGAGAACUGCGCAAAGGAGAUCAGAUCUUGAGCGUGAGAACAUUUGUGUUUGUUUGUGCAGAGUACAGUCGAUUUGAAGCUAAAAUUCAUGAUCUCCGAGAGCAGCUGAUGAACAGCAGUAUGGGCUCUGGAACAACUACAUUACGAAGUAACACUAAACGAGGAUUUUAUAUCAGGGCUCUGUUUGACUAUGAUAAGACGGCAGACUGUGGUUUCCUGAGUCAGGCCGUGGGCUUUAGGUUUGGAGAUGUGCUGCAUGUUUUGGACUGUGGAGAUGAGGAGUGGUGGCAGGCCUGCAGAGUCAGCCCACAGGGGGACGAGGAGGAGGUCGGCUUCAUCCCCAGCAAGAGGAGGUGUGUGUGUGUGUGUGUGUGUGUGUGUGUGUGUGUGUCGCUGCUUUCUCUUUUUUGUUGUUGCUUGUAUUACAAACAGAGACUGAUGCAUGUGUGUUUGUUUCUUUCAGGAAGGGAAGAGCCAGUACGGAGUUACGAGACAGUUGCACAAGUGGAAGUGCACUACGCGAGGCCCAUCAUUAUUCUGGGCCCGGUGAAGGACAGAGUGAAUGAUGACCUGCUGUCUGAGUUCCCAGACAAGUUUGGCUCUUGUGUCCCUCAUACGACACGACCCAAGCGGGAGUAUGAGGUGGAUGGGCGGGACUAUCAUUUUGUGUCGUCACGGGAACAGAUGGAGAAAGACAUCCAGAACCAUCGUUUCAUCGAGGCGGGCCAGUACAACAGCCACCUGUACGGAACCAGCGUUCAGAGCGUCCGAGAGGUGGCCGAACAGGGAAAGCAUUGUAUUCUGGAUGUGUCCGCAAAUGCAGUUCGUAGGCUACAAGCUGCACAGCUUCACCCGAUUGCCAUCUUCGUGCGGCCCAAAUCACUGGAGAACGUCCUAGAGAUCAACACACGUCUAACUGAGGAACAAGCCAGGAAAGGUAUGGACCGCGCUAUUAAACUGGAGCAAGAUUUCCUGGAGUGCUUCUCUGCAAUCGUGGAGGGCGACAGCUUCGAGGAGGUUUAUCACAAGGUGAAAACUGUGAUCGAGGAGCAGUCAGGGCCUUAUAUCUGGAUUCCCACCAGGGAGCGUCUGUGA